AGUGAACGCUGGCGGUAGGCCUAACACAUGCAAGUCGAACGGCAGCACAGUAAGAGCUUGCUCUUACGGGUGGCGAGUGGCGGACGGGUGAGGAAUACAUCGGAAUCUACUUUUUCGUGGGGGAUAACGUAGGGAAACUUACGCUAAUACCGCAUACGACCUACGGGUGAAAGCAGGGGAUCUUCGGACCUUGCGCGAUUGAAUGAGCCGAUGUCGGAUUAGCUAGUUGGCGGGGUAAAGGCCCACCAAGGCGACGAUCCGAAGCUGGUCUGAGAGGAUGAUCAGCCACACUGGAACUGAGACACGGUCCAGACUCCUACGGGAGGCAGCAGUGGGGAAUAUUGGACAAUGGGCGCAAGCCUGAUCCAGCCAUACCGCGUGGGUGAAGAAGGCCUUCGGGUUGUAAAGCCCCUUUGUUGGGAAAGAAAAGCAGCAGGUUAAUACCCCGCUGUUCUGACGGUACCCAAAGAAUAAGCACCGGCUAACUUCGUG
rnacentral:rRNA from 1 species